rnacentral:lncRNA from 1 species
GGUGGUGUUUGGGCUUUCAUGGGACCUACCCUGAACCUGUUGGGCCUGGACCAACCUUUCUAGAGAGUUCUGUGAUCUUCACAUAGCAUUAGCUUCAUCUCCUCUCACUGUCAGAAGCUGUGACAGCUUGACCCCCCACUGGCUUGAUCAAGGCAAAGGGGCUUUUUUGGUAAAUGGACUUUGUCCCUCUGCUGGAGGUGAGACCAAGAUGAGUAACACUUUGCAGCUCAGCACACCUGAGGUAUGACACACCUGAAGUAUGACACACCUAAAGUAUGACACACCUGCAGAAUGAAACCGUUCUCUCUUUCUUACUUCUAGUUUUAGUCCACUAUAAUCCAAGAAGAUGCAAGAAAUUACUUUGAUACUUUUGUAUUUGUUAAGACUUGCUUCUAGGCCUAAGUUUUAGAGAAAUUCUCAAGGGCUGCUGAGAAAAAAAUGCCCUCCACAGCUGCGGCUAAAGCGCUCUGCAACAGGCUAGAAAG